GUGGUGGCUCAGCGGUAGAGCACACGCCUAGCAGAUGCGAGCCCUGGGUUCGAUCCUCAGCACCACA
rnacentral:tRNA from 1 species